ACAAUGAUUGUGCUCUUUAUGAGAAUGUAUGUAGUAUUUGUUGUUGAUGAGUUUUCAUGAUCUGAUUUGCAAGGAAUUGUAUCGCGGAUUAAAAUGUCAAUCGAAAUGUGAGUGUAUGUGGAUUUAUAGCCUUCUUGUGCCUUGUGCUUUUUUUUGACUAAGUUGCUUCUAAACAUGUUUCUGUCACAACUCACAGAUAUGCAACUUGUGUGAUAUCAAUAACUUGUAUGAAAUAUGAGAUAACUUUAGUUUGGUUGUUCACUUUGUCAUUUAUAUAUGUUCAAAGUAGAAUAUUUCUAAGAAAUUAUGAUAACUUGCCUAUAUUUCUAUGGCUUUUAUCCA
rnacentral:lncRNA from 1 species